AGCAGUCGUGUAGCGAAUUGAGAAUGUUCUCUGCCCCUCCCCUUCCUCUCUGCAGCCACCAGGCGAGGGGCAAGAUGGGAUUGGGACACUUGGAUGUGCCUUGGUGGGUAGAAGAACAGGACUGACCCUUCAGUGCUUGUUAAGUAUUUCCAAGACCUGGGACUCAUCUCAUCCAAACAAUCUACUAGUCAGGGCCAGGAUUAGGGGAGGCAGGCAAGGCAGGGGCAGAUCUUAUCUUUAUUUAAAAUCUGAAUAUUUUGUUCAUCAAGGUUUUUGGAGGUAUUAAUUUUGAUUUUUUUAAUUGCAUUAAAAUUAUUUAUCUUGAUUACUGAGUUUCUAGCACCCCUCUAAACACCCUUUGCGUGCUCAGAGGAAAGCAUGAUGGCGCGCUCUCUGGGUGUACCUCCCCUCAGCUCUCUGCCCAUCGUGACAAAUGACGCCCUUACACCUGUUGGCUCUGCCGCUUCUGCCCCUCCGCCCCCUGCCCUCCAACCCCUCUGGCGAAAACCCCGCCCGGCAUCGGCGAGAGAAGAAGGCCCGUGAAGCGUGGUGGCCUUUUCCUCCCAGGUCUUUUGUUAACUUCAUUUUCGAGCUUCGCAGUGGAGACGAACACACCAGGAGCAAGAGCCCAUUUCUUUUUAAAGAAAUCCUUCGUGUAGCAAUCACGGUGACAAAUGGCGCCCCCUGUGGCAGGCCACAGCCAGUGGAAUGCUCUGCAACCUCAAGGCAGCCCGCUGACGCGCUAGGAAACAGAGUUCCAAAGUCGUUUCAACUUUGCUAACUGUGGCAGCCUGGACAAGUCUCUAAUAUGGUAACAAAGUGGACAGACCUUUAAAUUCUCACAACGGGAGGGGAGGAAGGACGGGGCCACUUCAAGAUAUCCUUGGCCACCUGACCAAUAUACAUCACCAACUGCAAAACCAAGGGCUGAGAUCCAUCCGGAGUUCAACAGAGGACACUGACUGUCCUUGGGGGCUGAGAGAUUAAGAUGUCACAUCUGGCGAGGAAACUGCCAAGCGCUAAUCCCUACCAUCCCACCAAUGAACAGAACUUAAGAAUCUUCCCUUGUCAAGAACCACUGGUACCACCAAUUAAAUUUACACUUUAUGUUCUGGGGGUUCAUAUAAGAAAAUAAAACUCAUGGAGAUACAUUAAAUAGACAUUAAAAUCAUUGACAUUAUAAUCUCACACGCUGUACAAAAAAUCCCCGAUGGUCUGUAAUUUAUUUAUGUAUUGAUUCAAAGCAAGUAUUACCAGGGACUUGAGAUAGUUGUCAUCUCACAAUGAGAACAGCACUUAUACCACUUGGGCCUCAUAUCUUCCUUGAAAGGAAGACAAAUGUUGAA